UGGUUUGGCAGUUGCAGCAGGGGGUUCAAAUUGAUUGACGGACAUAACUCCAGUAUACUCCUGAACACUCCUGGACAGGCCAGUCUUCUGUGGCUGCAGUGCAGAGUCUGCUGACGGUGUCCCGGCUUGUAGGGUCGGACAGCCGAGGCUUACUUCCAGACAUCUGCCAACACUGUCAAGGUUUCGCCCACUAGUUGCCCAGCUCACGAGGCUCCAACCCCCACACCAAGACAAACCAAACUGCUCUUCGAUUACCAAACCCUGGACUCUUCGCCAAAUCAACCAGCCCAUUAGCCUCCAGGUGUUAGCUUGUCUUCACGCCAAGUCCGCCCACCUUCGUUCCUCUAUGAUCAGGAGUCUGCAAAAGAAGACUCAACUGUCUAGUCUGGGUCAAUUAAACUGUUUAACCUUU